UACAGAGGGUGCGAGCGUUGUCCGGAAUUACUGGGCGUAAAGGGCGCGUAGGCGGCCUGAUAAGUCGGGGGGUGAAAGUCAGCGGCUCAACCGCUGGACUGCCUUCGAGACUGUCGGGCUUGAGCAUGGUAGAGGCUGGCGGAAUUCCCGGUGUAGCGGUGGAAUGCGUAGAGAUCGGGAAGAACAUCGGUGGCGAAGGCGGCCAGCUGGGCCAUUGCUGACGCUGAGGCGCGACAGCGUGGGGGAGCAAACAGG
rnacentral:rRNA from 1 species